AUAGAGACUCAGAGCUGCAUAUCAAUAAGCGGAGGAAAAGAAACUAACAAGGAUUCCCUCAGUAACGGCGAGUGAAGCGGGAAGAGCUCAAAUUUGAAAUCUUCGAGGUUCUACCUUGACGAAUUGUAGUUUAAAGAAGUGUUUUCUGUUGAAGUUUUCGGUAAAAGUUCUUUGGAAUAGGACAUCAUAGAGGGUGAGAAUCCCGUAUUUGACCAGUUACUUUCCAGCUGUUGUGAUACACUUUCAAAGAGUCGGAUUGUUUGGGAAUGCAGUCCAAAAUGGGCGGUAAAUUUCAUCUAAAGCUAAAUACUGGCGAGAGACCGAUAGCGAACAAGUACCGUGAGGGAAAGAUGAAAAGAACUUUGAAAAGAGAGUUAAACAGUACGUGAAAUUGUCAAAAGGGAAGCGUUUGACACCAGUGUUGUUUUUCCUCGAAAAUCAAUUAAGAAUGGCUUGAUUUUGUGUUGUAUUGACCUUAUAAGCUUUCUGCACUUUUUUUCGAUGUCUUUUUUAAUGCACUUUUCGGUUAACAAGUCAACAUCAAUUUCUUUUGUUGUAAAAAGAGUCAUUCGGAAGGUGGCUUUCUUUUCGGAGAAAGUGUUUAUAGCCCUAUACUUCUACAAUCGGAGAGAUUGAGGUCUGCAGCGUAGAUCCUUCGGGGUUAGAUACAUUUGUGCUAAGUUGUAGCUUUUCAUAGACAACUUGUUGACUAUGUUUAGUCAUUGUAGGCUUACUCGCUUAUGCUAUUUUACCUACGCUUAGGAUGUUGACGAUCAGCUGAGCGCG
rnacentral:rRNA from 1 species